UCCACUGCUUAGUUGGUAAAAUACAAAGCUCUUAACCUUGUGGGCGUGGGUUCAAGCCCCAUGGUGGAG
rnacentral:tRNA from 1 species